rnacentral:sRNA from 2 species
CAACGACCCGAAGGGUGAAGCGCGCAGCGCUGAGUAAUCCUUCCCCCACCACCA